rnacentral:tRNA from 1 species
AGAUGCUUAGUCUAAAUAAAAUACUUGAUUUCGGCUCAAGAGCUUGUGGUGAAAGUCCAUAAUCAUCUA